rnacentral:rRNA from 1 species
UUGUCUCAAAGAUUAAGCCAUGCAUGUCUCAGUACAAGCCGCAUUAAGGUGAAACCGCGAAAGGCUCAUUAAAUCAGUUAUGGUUCCUUAGAUCGUACCCACAUUUACUUGGAUAACUGUGGUAAUUCUAGAGCUAAUACAUGCAAACAGAGUUCCGACCGGAGACGGAAGGAACGCUUUUAUUAGAUCAAAACCAAUCGGCGCGCGGCGGGUCCGCCCGUCCGUCGCCGCACUACCUGGUGACUCUGAAUAACUUUCGGCUGAUCGCACGGUCUCGCACCGGCGACGCAUCUUUCAAAUGUCUGCCUUAUCAACUGUCGAUGGUAGGUUCUGCGCCUACCAUGGUCGUAACGGGUAACGGGGAAUCAGGGUUCGAUUCCGGAGAGGGAGCCUGAGAAACGGCUACCACAUCCAAGGAAGGCAGCAGGCGCGCAAAUUACCCACUCCCGGCACGGGGAGGUAGUGACGAAAAAUAACGAUACGGGACUCAUCCGAGGCCCCGUAAUCGGAAUGAGUACACUUUAAAUCCUUUAACGAGGAUCAAUUGGAGGGCAAGUCUGGUGCCAGCAGCCGCGGUAAUUCCAGCUCCAAUAGCGUA